UACGAAGGGGGCUAGCGUUGUUCGGAAUUACUGGGCGUAAAGCGCACGUAGGCGGAUACUUAAGUCAGGGGUGAAAUCCCGGGGCUCAACCCCGGAACUGCCUUUGAUACUGGGUAUCUGGAGUCCGGAAGAGGUGAGUGGAAGUCCGAGUGUAGAGGUGAAAUUCGUAGAUAUUCGGAGGAACACCAGUGGCGAAGGCGGCUCACUGGUCCGGUACUGACGCUGAGGUGCGAAAGCGUGGGGAGCAAACAGG
rnacentral:rRNA from 1 species